AUUCGCCCUAUUCAGUUUGCGUUCUCCUAUUUCGCCGGUGUUUUUUAUGCUCGUGCUCCCAUGGAACUGGAAGCCUCUCCUCCAAACUGUGCCAAGAAUCCUUCUAUUAUUUUCAAAUUCGCGACAGGUAUUCCUGUGACAUAGAAGUGGUUUAAAUGAAAUUUACUGGCAUCACAAACAACUUGCUGAUUCUGAAGCAACUUGAAGAUUUGGUAGGAUACAGCUUAGCGAAACCCAUGGUAUUGCUGCGGUAUAAAGUUGCGGCUGAGUAUGCUUACUGAAGGAACAGUUACAUAGUCAAAGAAUCGUGUGGGCGACAUUUUUUCCGGUUUCCGGUUGGUUGUUCGAGGAUUUUACGUCCAAUAUUCUGGAGAUCCAGAUGCACAACUGCUUGGCUCAACAUGGUAACAAGACAAUCACCCGGGUUUUUCACUUGUUUGUUCUCGAAAUUCUCUGUUUUUAUAUUUUUCAGUUGUGUCCUGUAAAUUAAACACAGAACAAAGUCAUUUCCAGAAUGGCUUUUUGAUUUUCAUGGAAGGAACCCGAUUAAUUUAUUCCCCAAAGAAAAGAAAAUAUAUUUCAGUGGCCUAUUAUAAUACAUUCUGCUGGUCUGUAUCUUCUUUACAGCUUAUAUGUCUCGUAAUUAUGAAGUUACAGUGGAAAAGAUCAAGUGUUUCCAAA